UACGUAGGGUGCAAGCGUUGUCCGGAAUUAUUGGGCGUAAAGAGCUCGUAGGCGGUUUGUUGCGUCGGCUGUGAAAUCCCGAGGCUCAACCUCGGGUCUGCAGUCGAUACGAGCAAACUAGAGUGUUGCAGGGGAGACUGGAAUUCCUGGUGUAGCGGUGAAAUGCGCAGAUAUCAGGAGGAACACCGGUGGCGAAAGGCGGGGUCUCUGGGGCAACAACAUGACGCUGAGGAGCGAAAGCGUGGGGAGCGAACAGG
rnacentral:rRNA from 1 species